rnacentral:rRNA from 1 species
UACGUAGGGUGCAAGCGUUUGUCCGGAAUUAUUGGGCGUAAGAGCUCGUAGGUGGCUUGUCACGUCGGGUGUGAAAGCUUGGGGCUUAACUCCAGGUCUGCAUUCGAUACGGGCUGGCUAGAGGUAGGUAGGGGAGAACGGAAUUCCUGGUGUAGCGGUGAAAAUGCGCAGAUAUCAGGAGGAACACCGGUGGCGAAGGCGGUUCUCUGGGCCUUACCUGACGCUGAGGAGCGAAAGCGUGGGGAGCGAACAGG